CGUGGCUUCAUGGCCUUACCCUGAGAGCAGCUUCCUCUCAGGGGCCCACCUCCACCUGCCCGAGGUGAGCCAGGCCCUUAGUGAAGCCUUCCCAAGGUUCUGGUGCAAUGUUCUGCUCCCCUUCACAGCGGGCACCGGCGGUCCAGCUCGUCACCCACAGGCAGAGAAGGGGAUUUGGAGGUUCUCAUGUGGAUUUUUGUCAGAUUCACUGCAGUAACAGAUAACUCCCAAGUCUGUGUGAUUGACUCCAGCAUGAAACUUGUCCUGUGCUGGUAAUCCUGGCUGCCCCGGCCCAUGGUCUUCUUCACUCUGAACCCAGGAUGAAUCUACUGCCCAUUCAAAGGGCAGAACAAUGGCAGGACCCCAUGGUGGCCCAGACUUGCCAGCAAUAACGUCGAAUUUUUCACUGAAAUUCCUUUAACCAAAACAAGUGAGAUGCCACACCUGACGCCAGUAGAGUGGGAACACACCCCUCCCAGGUGGCAGAAGAGCAGCUAAUCAGGACUGGCGCAAGGAGUGGUAGAGUUACCAUGACCGAGGAGGGAGGAGGAAGAGCACUGAAAACCAGGUGAGAAAACCGAGGGCAAGGAGUGGGCAGAGACCCCCACCUAGAGGAAGGCACUUAUGGCCAGGGCUCUCUGCGUUCCGUGUGGAAGGACAGCGUAACCAGAAGCACAAGGGUGGCACAGACCUAACGGGAGGUCUGUGUGUGUGCCAGCAACAUCUGUUGGUGAGAAAUGGUCAGAUGCCAACUGGCAAUCACUCAGCUGCAGAACAAUGGAAUGAGCCUGACGCUGGAGUCCUGGGAGCUUCAGGAACAAUGGCCAACGGGAGCUACAGGAGAGCUUGCCAGUUGGGUUCCAAGCACAUACCAAGGUUGCCUUUCAGCACAACGCCCAUCCUGGCCAAGGUGGGCAAGACAAGGUUCCUGCAAACCAGAGGGACAAAGCCCACAGCGCUCUUGAUGUGGUGGAGGGCCACAGGGUUGAGGAGAAGUCUCCUUAGGGAGCAGAGGUAGCACCUGGUUAAUUGCAGGCAACUCGGGGUUAAGUUCAGCCUCUCCCACUGAGGAGCUGUGUGACCCUUGGUAAGUUAAUUGACUUCUCCAAAGCUCAGUUCCCCAUUUGCAGGACAGGAAAGCAAUAUUCUCCAUAGAGGGUCGUGGUGAUUGAAACAGAAGAUGCCAUCAUCUUUCCCACGGUGCCCUGUCCCUAGAAGAGCUCAGCAUUGCCUCUCCUCCUAGUUCAAAGGCUGGGGACCUUCGCUGAGACAGAGGGAAAGCAGGGCUCCUGGUGGGGACCUGCCGGAGGUAUAGCUCUAGGCCUGCAUCUUGGCGGGGAUAAGGGGAGCAACGUGGCCCCCUCUUCACUGCACCAACCUGGGGUCUCAGGCUCUCAUAGCCACACCGGGGGUCACCGUGACCGCGUCUCUGCAGUUGAGCUGGUGAUAUAAGCUGAGGAAGGCCUUCUCCUGGUCACCUGCCUCCUUUCCCUUUUUCUCUUCUCCUCGCAGAUAACACUUCUGGCCUCACCAGCUCCGCCUGGCUGAUGAGCUACAUUUUUUUUUUUAUUUUAAGACCCCAUCUUAAAAUAAAAAAUACAAAGGGCUGAGGAUGUGGCUCAGUGGGUGAGCAGCCCUGGGGUCAAUCCCCAGCACCAAAAAAAAAAAAAAAAGCAAACCCUAACAUGUUGUAGGGCUUUACAUUUCCCAAAAGCGCAGUGCAGUGACAUUUUUGCAGCCCCAUCUGCUCUUCAUAAUCCAGCUGCUGCCACAUCAAGACACGGGGAUCCUUCCAGACCCUGCCAAAGAUGGGGAUGGGAUUCUCGGCUCCUGGACAGAGGAGCACAGCAAGGAUAGUGUGGCUUCCACCCUGGGGCAGCCCCCACCUGGCUUCCUCUCUUUUGAGAAGACCAGCCAACAGGCUGUGAGGAGGUACACACUAACCUGUAUCCAGAGACACGUGGGAGGCCUGCCUGGAACAGCAUUCAUUCAGCCUGGAACAGCAUUCAGCCUGGAACAGCAUUCAGCCAGCAUCCACCACCUCCCUGGUGCCAACCUCCAGCUGCGCCAUGUCCCCAUUACGGUUUGUCCCCUCUGAAACUCAUGCUGAAGCCCAGUCCCCAUGGUGAAUGUCAAGAGGGUGGAAAAUUAAUGGCCCACGGAGUUAGGGGAGGGGUCUGAGGAUUACAUAAAGUCAUCUGGUAGAGCCCUCAGGGUGGAAUCCUGGUGGCCCGGGAGAGGGUCAGAGGAAAUGUGCACAUGUGAGCCCCCACUGCUCCUCUCUGCCAUGUGAGGCUGUGCCCUCCAGAGCCUGCCAGCAGGAAGGCCACCCCAGAGCCAGCCCCUCACUGUCUGGACUUUCACCCUCUAAAGCAGGAGCUAAAUGAACCCCCCUUCUUUACAUUUUGCCCGGUCUGUGGUGUCGUGUCCCUAGCCACAGAAGAUGGACUGAGACAGCCGAGACCCCAGACGUCACGGGAGCUGUCUAGAGUCAGGACCCACAGAAAGUGUGAGCAACAUAAGGGGCUACGCCUGCCCAGCACUGGGGGACAGUGCGCCACCCACCCUGGCAACUCAAAGAAGUGGUUCUGGGUGGAGGAGCAGACCCAGGGGUGGGGGGAAGCCCCCUGAAUGCAGUUGCUUUGUGUAUUUGACCUUGAACACGACCGUUUUUAUGAUUAUACAACAAAACUUAAUUCUUGGCAACCUCUGAAAACUAAAAGCAAAGUCGAGGAAAUGUAUGGAAUUAGGUAUCGGGAAGAUUGCUUAACCACAGAGAGCAUUAUUUCAAGUGACUUUAAAACAUCGCUUUGACUGCGUUUCCUAAUGGACACAUCCUAAAGCAAAAAACAAAAACAAAAAUCCCUGCAAAGCAUAUUAAACUGCUUUCAGUUUCCAUUUUGUAAUUAUAUAGCAUUGUUAUCGUGUAGUUAAAUAAAUUAACGAAACAAACAAAGUGAUGAUAUUAAUGCUACUGGGGGUGUUAUAAGAGAAUGGAAAUAUAAAAAUAAAAUUAAACAAAUUUAGAAAUGAA